rnacentral:miRNA from 1 species
UAUGGCUUUUUAUUCCUAU